rnacentral:rRNA from 1 species
GACGAACGCUGGCGGCGUGCUUAACACAUGCAAGUCGAACGGAAAGGCCCUGCUUUUGUGGGGUGCUCGAGUGGCGAACGGGUGAGUAACACGUGAGUAACCUGCCCUUGACUUUGGGAUAACUUCAGGAAACUGGGGCUAAUACCGGAUAGGAGCUCCUGCUGCAUGGUGGGGGUUGGAAAGUUUCGGCGGUAGGGGAUGGACUCGCGGCUUAUCAGCUUGUUGGUGGGGUAGUGGCUUACCAAGGCUUUGACGGGUAGCCGGCCUGAGAGGGUGACCGGGCACAUUGGGACUGAGAGACGGCCCAGACGCCUACGGGAGGCAGCAGGGGGGAAUAUUGCACAAUGGGCGGAAGCCUGAUGCAGCAACGCCGCGUGCGGGAUGACGGCUUUCGGGUUGUAAACCGCUUUCGCCGGUGACGAAGCGUGAGUGACGGUAAUGGGUAAAGAAGCACCGGCUAACUACGUG